rnacentral:tRNA from 1 species
UCCACGGUGGCUCAGUGGUAGAGAAUCUGCCUGCCAAUGCAGGAGACACAGGUUUGAUCCUUGACCUAGGAA